GGCCGGACGCCGCCGAGUCGUGUCCGUCCCCGCGGACGCGAGCCGGGGACCCACCGCAGUGCCGGGGUGAAUCGCACCCGGCGAGCUCCGCUCGCCGGCGCGUAGGGCUGCUUCCCGCCCGAACCCGUCAGCUAACUCGGUAGGCGGCUCACGGAAGGAACG
rnacentral:sRNA from 1 species